rnacentral:lncRNA from 11 species
CGCAUGCAAUAAAAAUCAGCACUUCUACACAUUGAAGAAACUGCAACCAAUGGAGCCCAUCACAUGAUGCAACUCUUACCGUUCUUGAGAAUCAGCAAGUUCACUAAACAGCUGCAACAUAUCACAGCCUGCCAUCUCAUGAAUUCAGGAAAAAAUAGGAUGGAAAUAAUUAUGAGGUGUAUACAAAAUAGAACAAUAUUGUUUGUUACAAAUAGCAAUGGUUCAUGAAAGUUGAGCAAUGUGAAGGAUCCAGACAUUGCUGUGUUCCUUAGUGCUCCCCAGAAUUUUUUUUAAAAAAAUUGAUAUCGGGAUUUGCC